GUCUCGAUGGUCUAAAGGCUUAGGACGCUCGCACGGAAUGCAAGAGAUCCGAGUUCGACUCCCGGCCGAGGCA
rnacentral:tRNA from 1 species